CUAAUCCAAGUUCCUUCAACUUCAGAGUGCAUACCUCAUUUCAUAGUUAUUCACUCAUGUCUGUCUGACCCACUAGAUAGACUACUAAUUCCUAUAUAUCUCCAGUACUAGUACCUGGCAUCUCGUAGACAGUAGUAGUCAGUACAUGUUUUUUCAGUGUAUGAUUAAUACAAAAUUACUAACCUUCACAUAAGCAGGGAUAGUUAAUUAAAUCACUGUUAAAAAAAACUUUUUAAAAUAGCUCAUCCAGAAAUCCAGAAUACAUACUUAGAAUAAAAAUUGCAAAUGAUAUUCCAGCGUAUAACCAAGAAAUUAGAAAUCUUCCUCCCACCUCAGUUUCAUUCCUCACAGUCAGCUACAGUGAACACUGGUGUCACUGUUCAUUUUUAUCAGCAUAUAAUAAACUAUACAGUAAGUUAUAACUAUCAAACUGGAGUGAAUGAGUCUUCUUUCAAAUCUUAAUGUCAGAAUUACUUUCACCUUCUAUUUCUUGGCAACAUCAAGCACAUAGUUUUGCUUAUCUUAUAAUAAACUGUACUGAACAAUGAUUAGCGAACAAAGUGCAGGCAACUGGUCUUCAUGAUAAUUAGCAAGGCCAGUCUGCAAUUCAGGUGUUGUCUCCCAUGAAGCUA
rnacentral:lncRNA from 1 species